AAAACAAAAAAAAAGGACUAUUAUCAAUAAGCAAGUAAAUUCGUUGAAGGAUCUGAUUUUGCUUCGGGUGUACACGUGGUACAAAUAUAUAAAUAUACCUUGUAUUCCAAGCUGAAAAAUGUUUGGCAUAUAUCUAAUAUAUAUUUUCAUUUAUUUUGUUCUAUUACGAACGUCCAGAUAAAUGAACAAAUGAGCGACCAUUGUCGUACAAUGAAAGGUUGGUAAUAUUGAAAUGAAUAUACAUCAAAAGAACAGCAUCACAACUACACUAUGUUUCACUAAAUUAAAUGUAUGAAAAUGUCCAACCAAUGUAAUGUAUUGAGUUAAAUAAUCUUCAUGUAUUCAUGAACAAAUUUUAUUUUAGUUAUCUUUAAUGUUAAAUGAAUUGAUGACAGUUCGCAUAUUCUUUUUCUAUUCAUGUUUGUAAAUGAGUAUUACAUGCAAUAAAUACAUUAGCUCCACACUUUUAUGUACAAAACCCGUGAUCCGUUCAAAAUUGUCACAUUUAUUGUUUAUUAUACACACAAAUUUAUUAUUGUAAAAAACUGUAAGGAAUAAAUACAUGUAUUGAUCAUUGCUCAAUGUUUAGUGUGCCCAUUCUGUUUUAAAUUAUAAAAUGUUUUCGACUAAACAUACUUUUUUUUCUUUAUACUGCAUACAUUGAUACGGUAAAAGAAGAAAAACGAAUUUAGAAAAGUAUGUUUCUGUUUGAUGACAAUAAAUCUACGAAUAGAAGACAAGGAAGAGACGAGCAUGUUACACGAAUGGUCACAUGAUUAGCCAAUGGACCAAGGUUUUCCCACUAUUGAUUGGAAUCUUUAACGAAUAAUUGAUUUUACAAGAUGGAAACUAAAAACAAACAAUACCUUCAAUGGAUGGAUUUACUUUGGUGAAGAAUUAUCUAAUAGACAGAUAUACAGACUAACAUUUGACGGAAAGGAAUUAACAGUAAUGAUACAGUUAAAGAAACAGACAACAUGUGUGUUCGGUAUAGGAAAUACAAACUACUAACUACAGCAUAAAUCAAACAUCUAAAAUGAACUUACAGAACUGCUGGAUAUUAAACUUGUUAAAUUUUGACGAUAUUCUCCUGGUGCAAAUGUUGUUUUAGUCACAAGUGGUGUCAAGUACGGCAAAAAUGAGUUUUAUGUAUUUUUAAAUGGAUCAUUCAGAAUCUUUUAGAUUUGCAUACCGGGUUCUAAUUACGAUUUCGCAAAAAUAUCUUUGAAUUUUAUAAAUAUACCAUGUAUACAGUUUUUCCGAAGAAAUAUCGUAUCUCGAACUUGAAUUUUAAAUUUUAGCAUCUUUAGAUGUCCAGUUGUUUGAAUAAGAAAUGGCUAAAUUAGCGGUACUUACUUAUUGUGUAUGCUAAUGACAACUA